rnacentral:rRNA from 1 species
UACGUAGGGACCAAGCGUUGUUCGGAUUUACUGGGCGUAAAGGGCGCGUAGGCGGCUUAACAAGUCACUUGUGAAAUCUCCGGGCUUAACUCGGAACGGCCAAGUGAAACUGUCAAGCUAGAGUGCAGAAGGGGCAAUCGGAAUUCUUGGUGUAGCGGUGAAAUGCGUAGAUAUCAGGAGGAACACCGGUGGCGAAGGCGGCUUUCUGGACAGAUACCGACGCUGAGGCACGAAAGCUAGGGGAGCAAACAGG